UGCAGCCUUGUCAAAUUCAGUGUUAACUUGUUAGUAGACUACACUGGCCAGAUGGCUGCAACAUUAAGUUAGUAGUUCUAGGGGCCCAUGUUCUUAAAGUGGUUACUGGGAUCC